UACGAAGGGUGCAAGCGUUAAUCGGAAUUACUGGGCGUAAAGCGCGCGUAGGUGGUUCGUUAAGUUAGGAGUGAAAGCCCCGGGCUCAACCUGGGAAUUGCUUCUAAAACUGGCAAGCUAGAGUAUGGUAGAGGGUGGUGGAAUUUCCUGUGUAGCGGUGAAAUGCGUAGAUAUAGGAAGGAACAUCAGUGGCGAAGGCGACCACCUGGACUGAUACUGACACUGAGGUGCGAAAGCGUGGGGAGCAAACAGGAUUAGAUACCCGGGUAGUCCCUGAG
rnacentral:rRNA from 1 species